UCCAGCUCUUGCCCUGUCAAGAAUGGAUUAGAGGGAAACAAUACUGGGUGCAAGGAGAAUGUCAAGAAAACAGCAAAGUUCGUCUUAUUGAGGCAUCCAGUAAAGCUCCACAGAGAAAUCAUUCCCUCGUGUCUCUUCUGCACUCGGCCUUGGCAGGAUAAGAUGAAGAGGACGCAGUCCCUACCUCAGGCCUCCUCUCUUAGACCCUGGCCCAGCCUCCUCCACCAGGCUGUCCUCCAUCCUUCUCCUCAGGCCCCACCAGCUGCUGCUUGCUACAGCAUUCUCUUCAGGGAAGUCCUGAGGAUGCUGCCAGAAGAUACUGAACACCAAGGAGGGGACUCACUCACUGCCAACCACGACUUCCACAGAAAGCUUGGGAAUUGGGGAAUGGCAUGAUCAAAGCCUUGCUUUAUUAUGCAGAGCAAAUUUUUUUUUUUUGAGGGAGCAUUUGUGUGGAGAAUAGUGAGGAAGGGAACUAAGUGAUGAGAGCCUAAGUCAGAGCAAUGGCAGAAGAAAUUGAACAUAAUAGAACGGUUUAUGUUUGGUACCACACUUUGAAGGGUAAUGUAUGUUAUUUGUUCUUUAUCAUAGUCAACAACAAAUCUAGAUUUGCUUUAUGCACAGGAAGUAUUUAAUAUUAGUUAGGUUUAAUUUGAUUCAAUGCAUUUUAAGUUAACCAAUGAGCCCUAUUGAACUCAUAAGGAAACUAAAGCCGAGUAAGGUUAACUGACUUGCCCACAGUUAAAGGGUUGGAAAGUUUUGGAGCCAAGGGUGAAACCCAGGUCUCCUUAAUUCAAAAUCCAAGGCUUCAAUCAUGACACCAGUUGCCACAAAUCUGUGGCAUAUAUGGUGAUUCUAUUUCUUUGCCACCACAGACAUUGCUAAUCGAUUUCCUACGCAAGCUUGGAUAUGGCCUCAGAAUCCUUCCAAACACAGGGCUCCAGAGACCCACCUCAAAUCAACUUUUCUGUAUCCUGGCAGGAUAGCAUGCUCUCUCUCCAAGAUAAAGGAAGGAAAAUGGUAGAGGUGAUUUGCGGGCAGAAGCAUUAUCACUUGGCAGCUGUGGGCGUAGAUUGUGAGAAAGAGAAAAGGGUAGGCAUCAGGAAUGAUGAAGGAUGUAAGCCUGGGGGAUGAGGGGGAUGGUGACACUAAUUAACAGAAUAAUGGAACUGGAACAGAAGCAGAGCUGUAACAUGGUGAAUGUGGUCUUGAGGUGUUGUCCAGUUCUUAAGGCGGUGGGGGGUGCUGUGACAAUGACAGGUGAAGGCUGCUGCUUAUGGAAAGACACAGGCAGGGCCUCCUAACACUUCUAGCAAUUUCAGCCCCCGAAACAGUGACAACUGUGGAUCCUAAAGGCAUAUGUCCAAAAGAUGCUGGCCAAACAUUUCAGAAAAGAUGAAAUAAGGAGGUCUCAAAGUCCUGCUUUUCAAGACACUGCUAGGAAUCUUUUUGCAAAGCAAGAAAAUUCUUUUAUCAUUCAAACAAUUAAAUAAU
rnacentral:lncRNA from 1 species